rnacentral:lncRNA from 1 species
CAGCAGCAGCGGCCGCUGCCACUUCGAGGGACCCUAUGUCUACAGCCCUUUCCAAAGGGACGUUGGUGGACGCAACCGUCCUCACAGCGAGAGCAACCUCCCCCUCGUCCACUGCCACCACGGUCGGCGGCUGUGCGGCUUCCCAUUUCAGGAACGGCACAGGCACAGGCACAGGCACCGGCACCAGGCGCGCGAGCUGCUGAACCGCCGCACCGAGCUCGGACCCGGCCUGCCCGAGCCUGCCGCCGAUCUCGACGAGCGACGAGACGGCGACGGCGGGGAGGUCCACGGCCCCGGCCGCGCGGCGCACCCCGCCGACGAAGGGGACAACGGGGAGGUCGAUGUCGAAGGGGAUGACGAUCUUGGGCGGCAACAGCGCCGGCGGCGACCACGGGGGCAGCUGCGGCGGGUGCGCGUGGAGGAGCAGCCCCGAGAAGCCCUGCGCGAGGCGGUCCGCCAGG